UCGGGAAUUUUGGGCAAUGGGGGAAACCCUGGCCCAGCAACGCCGCGUGAAGGAUGAAGUAUUUCGGUAUGUAAACUUCGAAAGAAUAGGAAGAAUAAAUGACGGUACUAUUUAUAAGGUCCGGCUAACUACGUGCCAGCAGCCGCGGUAAUACGUAGGGACCAAGCGUUGUUCGGAUUUACUGGGCGUAAAGGGCGCGUAGGCGGCAUGACAAGUCACUUGUGAAAUCUCUGGGCUUAACCCAGAACGGCCAAGUGAUACUGUCGCGCUAGAGUGCAGAAGGGGCAAUCGGAAUUCUUGGUGUAGCGGUGAAAUGCGUAGAUAUCAAGAGGAACACCUGAGGUGAAGACGGGUUGCUGGGCUGACACUGACGCUGAGGCGCGAAAGCCAGGGGAGCAAACGGGAUUAGAUACCCAAUAGUCCCUGAGCGGGCUGGCAAGGCGCAU
rnacentral:rRNA from 1 species